GAUGAACGCUGACAGAAUGCUUAACACAUGCAAGUCGAAGGGGAAGUGGUUCUUGCACCAUGGUAACCAUGGCGGACGGGGGAGUAACACGUAAGGAACUUACCUGCUGGACCGGGGUAACAGCAGGAAACUGCUGACAAGACCGGAUAAGGGCAUUAAGCUGCAUAGCUGAGGGAUGAAAGGAGACGCCUGCGGGGAGCCUUGCGUCCUAUUAGCUAGUUGGUGGGGUAACGGCCCACCAAGGCGAAGAUAGGUAGCCGGCCUGAGAGGGUGGACGGCCACAAGGGGACUGAGAUACGGCCCUUACCCAUACGGGAGGCAGGAGUGGGGAAUAGUGGAAAAGGGGGGCAACCCUGAUAGAGAAAUUCUGUGUGGAAGAAGACGGUUUUCGGAUUGUAAAGUGCUUUCAGCAGGGAAGAAGGAAGUGACGGUACCUGCAGAAGAAGCGACGGCUAACUACGUG
rnacentral:rRNA from 1 species